rnacentral:lncRNA from 1 species
AAUAUCAGACAGCAAUUAGUGAAAACUACCAAACAAUGUCAGACACCACAUUCAAGGCCUUGCACCAGCAGCUUCCAGUUAUCCUCACCAAAAUUGACUGGAACAAGAUACCCAGUUACAAGAUUGGCAAAGAAAUGCAGAAUUCUUAAAGGCUGACUGUAGGAUUCUUCAGUAUAUAGAAAGAAAAGUAUUUAACAUGUGGUUAUAUGAUAAAUAAGUGAUUUAUAAACAAGAGUGAUAUUUUUCUAGGGCUUUCAAAGUUAACAGAUUUUUUUUUAGCCUCAUAAAAUACUUUUGAACCUAUAGCAUUGACUUCAUCUUUUUGUGUUAUCUCCCUUGUAUUUUUCUGUUAUCACUAUAUCUACUUGUAAAUCUUUUUUUUUUUCCCUUUUUGUUAAUUCUGCUACACUUAAUGCUGAAGAGAGAUCCAUUUAUUCUGGAGUCAUUUUACUCUUUAGAAAAUUUUCCUACCCAUGAAGUCCUGUUACUGAUUUAGACAGAUAAUAUGCUCAGUACUUUUACCCUGUGCUCCAAAGCACUUCUGGUACUUCAGUGCUUUUUACUGAUCCACCAACAGCCAAGGAGGCUAUGCUACAACUUGUAGCUAAAUGAAAGACAUAUUCAUCCUUCUCCCUCUGACUGCUUUGAUCGUCAUUUAUAGCAUCUCAUAACUAUAGUUUUCAAAAGUUUGGAUCGAGGCUUUUUGGGUCCAUUUUUGGGGGAAAAGGAAGUUUUCUGGAAAUUCCAUGACAGCCAGCUUCUCU